rnacentral:rRNA from 1 species
GAUUAACGCUAGCGGCAGGCCUAAUACAUGCAAGUCGAACGGCAGCACGAGUAGCAAUACUUGGUGGCGAGUGGCGCACGGGUGCGUAACACGUAUGCAAUCUACCUUUAACUGGGGGAUAGCCCCGAGAAAUCGGGAUUAAUACCCCAUAAUAUUACGAUGAGGAGUCUCAUUGUAAUUAAAGCUCCGGCGGUUUUAGAUGAGCAUGCGCGACAUUAGUUAGUUGGUGAGGUAACGGCUCACCAAGACCGCGAUGUCUAGGGGUUCUGAGAGGAUUCACCCCCACACUGGUACUGAGACACGGACCAGACUCCUACGGGAGGCUG